GCAGUCGCACGAGAACUCUUUAGCUUGCUAAAGAUAGUAAAAUGGCGCACGGGUGAGUAACGCGUGGGUAAUCUACCUUCGAAUCGGGGAUAACAUUGCGAAAGCGAUGCUAAUACCGGAUAAUAUCCCAAAAGCUCCGGAUUUUGAGAUCAAAGGUGGCCUCUACAUGUAAGCUUCUGUUUGAAGAUGAGCCCGCGUACCAUUAGCUUGUUGGUAGGGUAAUGGCCUACCAAGGCAACGAUGGUUAGCUGGUCUGAGAGGAUGAUCAGCCACACUGGAACCGACACACGGUCCAGACUCCUACGGGAGGCAGCAGUGAGGAAUUUUGCGCAAUGGGGGAAACCCUGACGCAGCAACGCCGCGUGAGUGAUGAAGGCUUUCGGGUCGUAAAACUCUGUCAAGUGGGAAGAAACCGUUUGAUGUUAAUACCAUCAAGCAUUGACGGUACCACUGAAGGAAGCACCGGCUAACUCCGUGCCAGCAGCCGCGGUAAUACGGGGGGUGCAAGCGUUAUUCGGAAUUAUUGGGCGUAAAGAGCGCGUAGGCGGUCUUUUAAGUCAGAUGUGAAAGCCCGGGGCUUAACCCCGGAAGUGCAUUUGAAACUAAGGGACUUGAGUAUGGGAGAGGGAAGUGGAAUUCCUGGUGUAGCGGUGAAAUGCGUAGAUAUCAGGAGGAACACCGGUGGCGAAGGCGACUUCCUGGAACCAAUACUGAACGCCUGAGGCGCGAA
rnacentral:rRNA from 1 species